rnacentral:rRNA from 1 species
UACGUAGGGUGCGAGCGUUGUCCGGAAUUAUUGGGCGUAAAGGGCUCGUAGGCGGUCUGUCGCGUCGGGAGUGAAAACUCAGGGCUUAACCCUGAGCCUGCUUCCGAUACGGGCAGACUAGAGGUAUGCAGGGGAGAACGGAAUUCCUGGUGUAGCGGUGAAAUGCGCAGGUAUCAGGAGGAACACCGGUGGCGAAGGCGGUUCUCUGGGCAUUACCUGACGCUGAGGAGCGAAAGUGUGGGGAGCGAACAGG